rnacentral:rRNA from 1 species
UACGAGAGGCCCAAACGUUAUUCGGAAUUACUGGGCUUAAAGAGUUCGUAGGCGGCGCGGAAAGUGGGGUGUGAAAGCCCUCGGCUCAACCGAGGAAUUGCGCUCUGAACUGUCGUGCUUGAGGAACCUAGAGGUGAGCAGAACAGAUGGUGGAGCGGUGAAAUGCGUUGAUAUCAUCUGGAAUACCGGAGGCGAAGGCGGCUCACUGGGGGUUUUCUGACGCUGAGGAACGAAAGCCAGGGUAGCGAACGGG